AGCUGUUAAUUGUGCCGGUGCGCUGAGAGCCUAUAUCUGUCAGCUGCAAAAGAGGGUCCCUGAGUAAUUUUGUUUUCGGCUCAUUUCAUUUCAGCUCGUCAGUGGAAACGGAUUUAAUGUUAUCCUUCUGACACGGACCUUGUAACAGACAAACACUAAUGGCAGUAGAACAUGAAGAAGAAAAAACACCACGUUGAGUAAAUAGAUUUCUCUGUGCACCGCAACGGACUGCUAACAUUAUCUAAUCGUCUCUUUUCCUCUCUGUAAUGCAACCCGAGCAACCUUUGCUUUCCAAGCCGUGUUUCAAAUUGACCCUGCGUUAAGACUGAUCUCAGGCUCGGCGUCCAUUGUUUGUUCGCCGAGGCAUCUUCAUGGCAGGUCUGUGCGGCUUUCGUCAUGUCCCUCAGCUUAGCCCAAUUAGCAAGCACCCCUCAUGUUGUCACAUUCUCCUGUAUGAGCUGUCAGACCAGUGAUGAAGGGCUCCUGAACACUAAAACAGACAGAGUGCACCUCCCUCUGUGUUAUUUUGUUACUUCGCUGUCAACUGACUGCAGCUGGUGCUAAGCAAAUCAUCAGUACCCUUCCGAAUGCUGCGAGCUCUCACAGCAAGGAAAAGGUGACUUUGCGGUUUGGCAUGUCUGGUGGAUGGGUUAGAACGGCAGAAGACCACAUCAGGUUCCACUCCUGUCAGCCAAGAACAAGAAUCUGAGGCUAUCAUGGGCGCGGAUUGACUGAAACUGGACCGCUGAAGACUGGAAAAAAGACCAGGUUCUUGGGCUGGAGAUCCACCAUUCUCCUUGUUGCCAGUGGUACGGGGCACUGCCUUCAGAGCCAGAGUGGUGGGCCGUGCCGGGCUGAUGGCAGAAAGUGGAGAAGGGCUGGCAGAGGAGUCGGAUGAAGAUGUGAGGUGCUCUAAGACUGGAGUUGGAGGUGGGGGAAGGGGAAGGUCAAGGAUGUCGUGGGGUUCUAAAAGGGGAACAGGGUCUGGAGGAGGCACAUCUUGCAAGUCCAGGUCUGCACUGUUCCUGUCCAUAUGUUCUGUCCAGUCAUGUACUGGUUCUGCCUCUGGCUGGACAAAACCUGGGUCACUUGGAAGUGCUGGGAAUGAUGAUUUGCUACCUGUGAAAAGACAUAAACAGUGUAAAUAAAUGUAGUAAUAAUGGACGCAAACAUAGCUGAACUAGUGAUCAUUCAAGCUGAUGGUGAAUGAUUCGCCAUCAAGUUCCUGAACACAGUAGGUCCAAGUUAACAUUAUUCAUAGACCUACUAGACCUACUUUUCUUUCUUUCUUUUUUAGUUAUUACAAUUUGGAUUAAACCAAAUUCAAGUGUCCAGUCAAACAGGUCAAUUAUGGUAACUCAAUAACACAGUAAAUAGAUUUGACAAUAUUGGGUUGGGAUUUUCACCACUGUAACUAAAAACAAAUAAACAAAAAACAGGGACCUCUGGGCUAUAAUUCAAGGACUCCAGGAGGACCCCAGACUCCUCUUGGAGAACCGCCAUGAAAUAUUCAGUGCUUCAUUUUGAUUGAAAUGAAAAAAAAAAAAAAGGCUUCAGUCCCUAAAUAAAU
ensembl:lncRNA